rnacentral:lncRNA from 1 species
AGCAAGACACAUAAACCGGUCACGUUCACGUAAGUUUAACUCUUAAACAUAUGAUGAUUAAAUGGUUGUGGUUGUGUUUUAAUCUGAUGUUGAUGGUAAACAGGAGAUGUAGAUGGUGGAGAAGAGAAUAGAAAAGAUGGAAUAAGAAUGAACAAGGCAAGGAGAGAAAGUUGCAGCAUUGGGAAGGAAGAAUGGAAGGAAAAGACACACUAGAAAUAGAAGGGUCGGAUUGCUCUCAUGCAACUUGAUGACAAGUCCUACCUUGUACCAUCUAACAUCUGAGCUCAUCUCUUUGUGGUCUCAAAACACACCACAGACACAAACCUUUUCCAGAUUUAUCACUCCGGAAUAUCUUUUUCGGAUUCAUAAAUCCGGAAAGUUAAAAGAAUCCUAAAUAAAUCUGUCUGAACCCACCCCAUUGGCGACCACAACCAAAAUUCAUACCUCCACUAAAUAACUACUCAUACCUCUAUUAAAUAAGUGAAGAACCUGCUUAUGUUACAAAGCUUCUAAAGCUUUGAUGAUCAUCAAAGACUCAAGAUGAAAAAAGGUUUCGAAGAUAGAGACGGAGAAGAAAC